rnacentral:rRNA from 1 species
CCUACGGGGGGCUGCAGUGGGGAAUAUUGGACAAUGGGGGCAACCCUGAUCCAGCCAUGCCGCGUGUGUGAAGAAGGCCCUCGGGUUGUAAAGCACUUUCAGUGAGGAAGAACGCCUGGUGGUUAAUACCCAUCAGGAAAGACAUCACUCACAGAAGAAGCACCGGCUAACUCCGUGCCAGCAGCCGCGGUAAUACGGAGGGUGCGAGCGUUAAUCGGAAUUACUGGGCGUAAAGCGCGCGUAGGUGGCUUGAUAAGCCGGUUGUGAAAGCCACGGGCUCAACCUGGGAACGGCAUCCGGAACUGUCAAGCUAGAGUGCAGGAGAGGAAGGUAGAAUUCCCGGUGUAGCGGUGAAAUGCGUAGAGAUCGGGAGGAAUACCAGUGGCGAAGGCGGCCUUCUGGACUGACACUGACACUGAGGUGCGAAAGCGUGGGUAGCAAACAGGAUUAGAUACCCGUGUAGUC